rnacentral:rRNA from 1 species
GUGGGGAAUAUUGGACAAUGGGCGAAAGCCUGAUCCAGCCAUGCCGCGUGUGUGAAGAAGGUCUUCGGAUUGUAAAGCACUUUAAGUUGGGAGGAAGGGCAGUAAGUUAAUACCUUGCUGUUUUGACGUUACCGACAGAAUAAGCACCGGCUAACUUCGUGCCAGCAGCCGCGGUAAUACGAAGGGUGCAAGCGUUAAUCGGAAUUACUGGGCGUAAAGCGCGCGUAGGUGGUUUUGUAAGUUGGAGGUGAAAUCCCCGGGCUCAACCUGGGAACUGCAUCCAAAACUGCAUGACUAGAGUACGGUAGAGGGUAGUGGAAUUUCCUGUGUAGCGGUGAAAUGCGUAGAUAUAGGAAGGAACACCAGUGGCGAAGGCGACUACCUGGACUGAUACUGACACUGAGGUGCGAAAGCGUGGGGAGCAAACAGGAUUAGAAACCCCUGUAGUCC